GAUGAAGAACGUAGUGAAAUGCGAUAAGUAAUGUGAAUUGCAGAAUUCAGUGAAUCAUCGAAUCUUUGAACGCACAUUGCGCCCGCCAGUAUUCUGGCGGGCAUGCCUGUCUGAGCGUCAUUUCAACCCUCAAGCAACUUCUGCUUGGUGUUGGGGAUCGGCCGUCAAACGCCGCCCCCGAAAUCUAUUGGCGAUCUCGCUGUAGCUUCCUAUGCGUAGUAGUAACAUCUCGCAUCUGGAGAGCGGCGUGGUCAUGCCGUAAAACACCCAACUUCUCAGGUUGACCUCAGAUCAGGUAGGAAUACCCGCUGAACUUAAGCAUAUCAAUAAGCGGAGGA
rnacentral:misc_RNA from 1 species